AGCGAACGCUGGCGGCGUGCUUAACACAUGCAAGUCGAACGGAAAGGCUCCAGCUUGCUGGAGUACUCGAGUGGCGAACGGGUGAGUAACACGUGGGUAAUCUGCCCUGCACUCUGGGAUAAGCCUGGGAAACUGGGUCUAAUACUGGAUAUGACCUUUCUCCUUAUGGGGUUUGGUGGAAAGUUUUUCGGUGUAGGAUGAGCCCGCGGCCUAUCAGCUUGUUGGUGGGGUGAUGGCCUACCAAGGCGACGACGGGUAGCCGGCCUGAGAGGGUGAUCGGCCACAUUGGGACUGAGAUACGGCCCAGACUCCUACGGGAGGCAGCAGUGGGGAAUAUUGCACAAUGGGCGGAAGCCUGAUGCAGCGACGCCGCGUGAGGGAUGACGGCCUUCGGGUUGUAAACCUCUUUCAGCAGGGACGAAGCGUAAGUGACGGUACCUGCAGAAGAAGCACCGGCUAACUAUGUG
rnacentral:rRNA from 1 species